AAGCUCCCUCCCUACUCCUCCACCUUGGAACCGCGUCUUCCUUGUAUUCUAUGAUGAAAUUUUAAUUUAAUUCUCAAGACACUUCAUCAAAGCUUCCUGUCCUAACUAUGGCAUGGAAUCUUGUAGACAAGUGAUUCUCAAUCCCUCAGUCCACACCUAGGUGUCUGGAGAUCCUUUCCCAGUACUCAGGCCCCAGUUUGUCUAAACUGGGAGAGCAUGAUAAACAGACUUGCUAUGUCACCAUGACUGCUGAGCCAGAUGAUGUCUGGUUGGCCCUCUUAGCUUGCCUGCUGUGGCUUUGGACAGGAAGAAUGGUUAACCCCUCCUGGCAAAUGGUUUCAUAACUUUUGAAUCCAAGGCAUCUCAUAACAUGGAAUUAAUGUCCACAAGGCCUUGGAGCAUUGGACCAGGUACAAGAGAUCUCUGCAACUGUUGGGCGAUUGACCAUGGGUUGGUCUUGCUUAACGUCUUGGACAUCAUGUGUAAACCAAACUAGACAAUCUCUUAGGUCUCUUCAUAUACAAGAUGAGGGAAGUAAUUGACUCAUGGGAUUGCUAUGAGGGUAAAAUAAGAUGGUAUAGAAAUAGUGCUUAGAACAAUAUGUUGCACAUAGUAAUCUUUCAUCAAUGUUAGCUAUUAUUCUCUGCUCUCGGUUUUUGUGAUUAUUUGUUCUCAAUUUACCACCCUCUCCAAAAGUUAUUGUGUGGUGAGUUGACCAGCUAGGUCAGCUCUGCUCCUCCUUUUAACCUGGAGCUUGCACCAUUUGUCAACAACAGCAGUUCUAUUUAAAAGAUGAAGGAGCCACAUACGGAGUGGAUAGGCCCCUGGAUUUGUGUCAUUUGUGCCACAAAGAUUUAAUAAUCUCAGGCAAAUGCCUUUGACAGAUGUAUAUCAAUGACAGGUUUCCAAUGAGCACUGCCCUAAAUUAAUCCAUCACACCAGGCAAUGUGGUCUAAAUUUAAUGGUGCUGCUACAGAUAGAAAAUGUUUGUUUGAACAUUCUUGCGUCAUCUCGGUUUAAAUCAAGUCUAUUAAAACUCUGUGUUCCUCUGUUUUUCAAUCAAAUAUACCUAAAUGGUUACAGUAAUAUGCAGGGCAUCUUUCUGUUAUGAGUCUAUGUCUCUUUAAUGUCAGUAGGUUAAUCAUUUUCAGACAGCGUUUGUGCUUUUUUCUGUCUGACUUCGAUACCACUUACUGCUGAUUCUGGGGAUGCCAAGGGAGACUUAUGAAGUUGACAUAAAAAAGUGGGAACAAAGAUCAGGAGGUCACUGUUCAGUUUGAAAAACAGUGUUGCUCCAUGUUGUUGACCAAUUGGUCACCAAUAAAAGGAGUGGUGUCAGGGAGAAACAUUCUCAUGCCAGCUAUUUAUCUGACGUAGGGGAGUUCCAGGAAUACUGCAGCAAGCAGAGGGGGCAGAUUGGUGGUGGAAGGUUGUUGACCCAGGAACUCCAUUGUCUCAUGGAUCCAGAGGAAGCACAGCCAACUGAAAUCUAUUACCUCCAUUCUCUCCAGAAGAGCCCCAGUGCUUACAACGCCACAUGUGGGCUGCUGGCAUCUCUUCAGAGAUACUGACAGGCAGUGGCAAGACUGGGAAAAGUAAGCUCAAGUACCCUUACAAUUUGAAGUGACAGCCCUUGUUGGGGAAGGGCAGAGAGAUUUGGUCACAUGCUUUGUGGUGUUGCAGUAUUUUUCUGUGAUUCAAAUGAGGAUGUAAGAAAUUGGAGGUCAGUCUUCUGUGCAAUGGCUGAUGCACCUGCCACACUCCUAGAAGCAUUUCUGUGAGCUUCCAGGGACGACUAAGACAGCUGCAGAAUGGAAGCUUCCUCAGAGAAGCCACUUGUGGCCUGAGAGCCCUGAGCCCACACCCCUGCCUCUCUCCUGCUUCCCCUCACUCUCUUGUCUUCUCUCUUCUCCACGUCUCCUCAAGUGGCCCAUGCUGAACUGAAAAGGGAAAAUGUUUUGCUGCAGCAACAGUGUAGGCACCUGGAUCAAUCGUGAGGGUCCAGCCAAGCCUUACACAUGGGUUCUGUUGCUGCACAUCAAGGCCAUUGUUCUGCCACCAGUGAGAACAAGAGUUUCCACCUGUUUUCCCAGCAACCAGAACAAAUGCAAGUGAUGCCUGUUCAAGCAGACUUUCAAAGACAGCACACAAUACUGACACACAGAGCUUGUCCACGUUUCAAGGAAACAGUGAUGGCAAUCUGUACACGGAAUAGUAGGGAAAGCAUUUCCUUUUCAACGUCAUGGAACCUGAGGCCAGAUUUCAGCCACUUCCUUGCCUGGCAAUGGAUGAAACCACAAUGGCUCUGUCCUGAGUUUCACACCCCCUUUCAAAUCCAUGGCAGCAAAGGUAGCAGAGACGCAGUUACCAAUGAGUCACAGAGCAGACAGAAAACUGUUAGUAGGUUGACAACCAGGAAUUAAGAUGCUUUUUAAAAAAACAUGUAUUUGAUGCAAGGUGCACUAGAAGUGUGUCUGAGAAAGCAGUAGUCAAAAAUAUUAGAAAAGUGGAGUCCCUAGUCAAGUGGCCUUGUGGGAUUUUGCCUAUACCUUAAUGUAUCCUGCUGAAUAAGUAAGUAGCAUUAGGUCUUCCUGAAGAAUGGUUCAAAGCCUCUACAAAAAAAUGAGGAAAUGGAGCCAUUAGAUUUUAUGUGGAACUUAGUGCAAAUUUUCAUUUAUAUUGUGUGCAAUGAUAAUGGUCUCAUUAUCUAAAUAGGCCUUCCAGGUCAUCCAUUUCUACCACCCAGUGGAUGCAGGAAUUCACAAUACAGCAUCCCUGACUAGCAUCCAGGAAUAUAUAUACCUGAUGUACCACAGGAAGGUCACCCACCAGACCCCGGACUAAGAUUAUGCCCAGGCCAGUGGGUUUUUACCACAUAUACAUCAAUUUAGAGCAGUAAGGACUGGAAGAAACUUACUUUGGGAAGAGGGGUUGGUUUCUUUUUGUAGAAAAUAAAAUGAGCCAAUUUCUAGAGACAAAAUUCCCUGGAGGAAGAUGGACACUAACUAAAGACAUGUUUAUUAAGAUGGAUGAAGAGCAACCCUCCAACACCUGCAAAACAAAAAAAGGAAUUAAACCAAAAACUUGGAAAUUGUGUGAGCCACAAGGACACCACUCUGAAAUAUUCUGCAUGGCCUGGGCCUUACGAUGUCAGGGUUAGGGACUGGCCUGAUGGAGGAAAAUGAGUUUUGGAAGAUAAAGGCUUCCAGUAACUCUCUUUAAGUGUCUCUCAAGGAGCACACACUUGUGGGGGCUCUUUCAAACUUGUUUUGCUUUGUGCUCAGUGUAAACUGCUUGUACAAAAAUAUAAAAGGCAUGGCUUGAUGUUUAACGUCUGUGUUUUAUUGUUGGCACCAGAAAAGCUCAUGUUCUAUGUUAUGUCACUGUACAUACUGUAAACAAGACUGCAUUAAUAUUGUUUAUGAUUUUGUUUCAAUGAAUCUAGAGUUUAAAAAAUACAUUCACAAACUACCUUAUGUUUAAACACAAUGAUUCCCUUUUAUUUCUUAACUGUACCCAAAUCCCACAAUAAAAAAAUCAUUUAAAGCUGUGUGUUUCGAACUUAUCACUUAGAAAAUAAAAACAAAACAAAACAUAAAAGAUCAGUUUGCAACAUAAUUUAAAGAAGCUUCUGGUUUAAAAUACCACAGCAGCAAUAUAAAGAGCUGGUGGCAAUCACAUUUGGGGAUGAAACUCAAAUCAACGUGUUUUGUCCACGUCAGCAUCCAAUUACAGUAGUUGCUAAGUUCAAUCCAGAAAGUUAUUGCUAAAUUUGCCACAUGAAAUUUGUGAAGAUCAUAUUGUUCAGCAGCACGACCACAGCAGUAAAAAUGAGAACGGGAGGAUUUCAUUGCUUUUGAGUGCUAAAGGGACCAUGAUGAGGACAUCUGGGGUAGCUUGAAAAUAAUCCUCAAUUGCAGUUCUAAGAUUCCUGGUUAACACAAAUGCAAAUGAUAACCACCUUUCCAGGAGGAGCAUAAAUAUUUAAUCCAGAAACCAGAAUAUUUCUCCUUCACUGCCCCCAAACCCUCACCCAAACCAUCAGAUUGAAAUGGCUCCAUUUUCCUAAUACGUAUUUCGUUCUCAUUAAUAGCACAUCAGCUGCUUAUGGAUUUAGGCAAAAUCAGUAGGAUCACAUAUCUUUUUGGAUCCACUUACUGUAAUUGUUUUCUCUGGAAACAAGCUACAUUAAUUUUCAUUGUUGAAAUUUUUUUUCCAAUUUUU